rnacentral:rRNA from 1 species
UACGGGGGGGGCAAGCGUUGUUCGGAAUUACUGGGCGUAAAGGGCUCGUAGGUGGCCAACUAAGUCAGACGUGAAAUCCCUCGGCUUAACCGGGGAACUGCGUCUGAUACUGGAUGGCUUGAGUUCGGGAGAGGGAUGCGGAAUUCCAGGUGUAGCGGUGAAAUGCGCAGAUAUCAGGAGGAACACCAAUGGCGAAGGCAGCUCGCUGGAACGGUACUGACGCUGAGGCGCGAAAGCCAGGGGAGCAAACGGG